rnacentral:lncRNA from 1 species
CACUAGAUGAAAAUGAAACUCACUAAAGUGAAAUGCAUACCUAAAAACUACUACAAUAGGGAGUAUACGGGGAGUCUCUAUUAACUCAAUUUUGCUAUAAUCUUAAAACUGCUCUAAAAAUUAAGACCUACGUUAAAGGUCAUAAGCAUUGUGAUCUCUCAAACCUGAUUCUCUAUAGGCUGGUACCUUAUCCACUGUGCCACAGGUUCUUUGCCUGAUGAAACGGAUUAGAUACAUUUGGUCUGAUUAUAAAAAGAAGCUUCCACUCAGUGAAUAAAACUCCUUAUGGUGUCAACAACAUUGACUUCUAGAGGUCUACUGGUGAUUAAGCCAUGCAGAAAGGCGGGCAGGUGGGCUACUGAAUGCUAAGAAACCUCUAAUCAGGGUGAAUAAAAUUCCCCAUGUCUGUCAACAAUACUGACUUCUAAAUGUGGAGUAAAGAAAUUUCCUUUAAAAAUAUCUUCUACUGUUCAUCUUUUCCACUCUAGUUUUGAACUUGGUAACAUGCGUUUAAUUACGAAUGUUCACGCUCAUCUCUUCACUCGACUAAGAUAUUAUUACUGCAUAUGUGUCAAAGUUUUCUAAUCUUUGGGUACUCUCAUGUUUAAUAUAUUCAUUGAGAACUGGCUCUUUCAGACAUUGAACAAAAUAGAAUGAUCCCAGUAGCACAGUUCUAAUGAAGAAAAUUUAUUUAGUUAUGACAGGAAUUUACCACCCACUGCUAGUCCAUGAAAAUAAGAGGUUCCGUCUACCCUUCCACUUUCUACAGCAAACCUCACAUCUCCAACCUCAGCCUCCUUGUGAAAGUACCAAAGAAGUGAGGUGACCUCACUGCCGUCAUGGGCACUGAAUGCCCCAGAAUUUCCUUACAUACUUUUCUAAUUUUAACGCAAAUCACUCUGACGUCAUCUAAGUUUGAUGUGAUCCAGGAUCCCAAAGGUAAAGGAUUAUUAUCAGUCAGCAACCACUCUCCUUUACCAUAAGGUCCAUAUGUAUAUAGCUCAGGAAUGUCAUAGGAGAAGCUAAAUGAGCAAUUUCACCUCCCAUUGCCACCAUUUUUGGCAGCCUAGGUCCCAAACUCAAUUUUGAAUGAGUCAUCACGAUGGGGUGAAGGUGAUGGGGAAAUAUCCACAUUGAGAGCUACAGAUAGACCACGUCAUAGAGCACAAAGCCUGGGAGUCACUACACAUCUGAAAGGCAGAGUGGAAGACUGUACUUUCAGGGAUCAUUUCUACAGUUUGUGAAAGGCAGAGUGGUUUUGAGGAGAAGGCAUCCUUCGCCUCUCUUUCAGAUCGACUUUACUCUGUGUCCUGACCAUAAAGAGUUGCAUCAACAGGUGUCUUUACUCUGUGACUUCUGGUUUGACUUGGUCGGUGAUGGAAACGGCAGGAAACAAGAACACGGGAGAACAUACCAUCGCCGUGUCUACUCCCUGACUCCCCACCAAGCCCUCCCUCGGGCUUCCUCACGCUCAUCGCAUCUCUCCCGAGAAACAGAACGCUCAUGCCAGGUGUCCUCCUCAUGUGUCCUUCUCGCGUGUUGGUAAUUUUCAUUUCCCCCUUGUCACGUCAGGACCAGCGAUGGCAGCAAAGUCCCUUCUGUAAUACUAUAGUAAUAUGCUAUGUACUAUUAUAUUAAUAUGGUACAUAUUUAUAUACCCAUAUAUCUUCUUGGAUUUUGGAUUUGAUUUUCCUGAAUCUUGCCCACAUAUGUUCAAUGACCUCUGACCCACUUAUAAAUUCUUUAAAUUAUAAGGAUUUCAAAAAAACACCCCCCAAAAAAUUUUUUUAAAAAAUCAAUCAAUAAUCCAGUUUGAGCAAGGCGUAUUUUUCCUGACAGCAAGUUAAGCAAAAGAAAAGAGGAAGAACUGUCCACCUCAUUUACAUAUGUACAUCUCUCCAUCACUGUCUAUCACUGUCUAUCAGCAUCACGAACACUAUCCACGAGUUUAUUAUAUGGUAAAGUUUUAAUACGUGUAGUUUAAAACAUGACUAGAAGUAUGAUGUUCAGUUUUUAAAUGAAUUGUCUUUUCCCCCCAAAUGGGGAGGGGGUUCAUCUCAAAGAGAGACUUGCCCAAGUGUAGAAGAUGCCGUUUCAAGUAAGUCUUCGCAUAUUUAGUUUUCCGCAUAGAACAGUGAGAAGAAGCUGAGACUGAGGAAGGGUCAGGAGAAGACAGAGCAAGUCUGCCCAAACAAAGAUGAGAAGAGAGGACUCUCUUAUGAAGGGAAGCUGAAUAAAUUCCUGAAGAGGUGAUGCACACAGAGCAGAGUGAUGGGGUCGCCUGUGAUUUACCCUGGAGCUCAGACUCCACAUAUCCACAAUACAUUAAUGCUUUUGCCAUGGAUAAGGCUUACUGCCAGUAUUUAUUUAUUCCUUUAAAUAUUCUCCAGCAUUCAGUGGCCCCAGCUGCUAUAAAAUCUGCCUUCUAUCUGAUUCCAUCUUUAUAUUUUCACAGACUGUUUUGUUUUAAAUUCAUUUGGAAGUGAAGAAUUUGGUGUCUAUUUUUGUUGUGUUCCUUGAGAUGUUUACUUCCUAAAUGAGUUUUUUAAAACGUGAUUCUGUAUAGUUUAAAUUUUUUAACUUAUAUGCUGUAUUCUUCCUUCUUUUCGAGUUGUCCAUCCAUAAUAUUACCUAAAAACUGUCUGCUUACCUUUUUCAGCUCCCCACUAUUUAACCAAUGGGGGGGGUGUGUUAGGGGAGUGAUUUAAUAUAGUAUUUGUACAAAAAUAAGUAGUUUGAGUUCUCUGCGAACUCUCUUUCUAAUCGCCUUAGAUCCAUUUCUAUUUUCCAUUAAAAUGUGAACUUUAACCUUGAAUGCUGAAAAUGUGUUUCCUCUUAUUUCCUAGGGAAUUGUGUGAGGCAGUAGGAUCUUAGGUGCUUACGGUUCUAUUGUUCUAAUUUGUUUAAAGUUCUACUCCUAAGAAGGUUUGCCUAAUAGGCGUGUACACUAAUAAAGUGAUGCUGAUUUUUUAACCCCAUUUCAUGAGUAUACAGAGCUCCUUUGGUGUGAGGUCUGGAUUUGUCUUGAGUUUUCCCCACGGAAGAAAACGAACUCUAGGCAGUUAUUGCCCAGCGUUUUCUGACAACCAUAUCAAAAGAAGCAGAGGAAACAAGGAAAUGUGAUAAUUUUAUUUAUUCCAUCUCUAAAUUCAAACAUCCAUCUGAUUAUGGUUUGAGGCAAAAUAUGAAGAGUUGGGAGUUCCUGUUGUGGCUCAGUGGAAACGAACCCAACUAGUAUCCAUGAGAAUGUGGGUUGGAUCCCUGGCCUCGAUCCGUGGGGUAAGGAUCCAGCAUUGCCAUGAGCUGUGGUGUAGGUCACAGACGUGGCUCAGAUCUGGUGUUGCUGUGGCUGGUUGCUGCAGCUCUGAUUCAACCCCUAGCAUGGGAACUUCCAUAUGCUGCAGGUGCAGCCCUAAAAUGCAAAAAAAAAAAAAAAAAA